UAACUGGAUAUUGAAGAUGGCAGCCCGCGGGUGCUCGGGAGAGCGUGAAGUUCAAAUGUCCGAUAAAAGUAUGUACUUGCGGGACUAGUGUAAAAAGUGUGGA